UGCAUUCAAAACUGGUUGGCUAGAGAUCGGAAGAGGUAAGUGGAAUUCCCAGUGUAGAGGUGAAAUUCGUAGAUAUUGGAAAGAACACCAGUGGCGAAGGCGGCUCACUGGCUCGGUACUGACGCUGAGGAGCGACAGCGUGGGGAGCAAACAG
rnacentral:rRNA from 1 species